rnacentral:rRNA from 1 species
AUUGAACGCUGGCGGCAGGCCUAACACAUGCAAGUCGAGCGGUAGCACAGGGAGCUUGCUCCUGGGUGACGAGCGGCGGACGGGUGAGUAAUGUCUGGGGAUCUGCCUGAUGGAGGGGGAUAACUACUGGAAACGGUAGCUAAUACCGCAUAACGUCGCAAGACCAAAGAGGGGGACCUUCGGGCCUCUUGCCAUCAGAUGAACCCAGAUGGGAUUAGCUAGUAGGUGGGGUAAUGGCUCACCUAGGCGACGAUCCCUAGCUGGUCUGAGAGGAUGACCAGCCACACUGGAACUGAGACACGGUCCAGACUCCUACGGGAGGCAGCAGUGGGGAAUAUUGCACAAUGGGCGCAAGCCUGAUGCAGCCAUGCCGCGUGUAUGAAGAAGGCCUUCGGGUUGUAAAGUACUUUCAGCGAGGAGGAAGGCAUUAAGGUUAAUAACCUUAGUGAUUGACGUUACUCGCAGAAGAAGCACCGGCUAACUCCGUGCCAGCCGCCGCUGUAA